rnacentral:rRNA from 1 species
GUUGAACGCUGGCGGCAGGCCUAACACAUGCAAGUCGAGCGGAGCUGCGGACGGGUGGGUAAUUCAUACGAAUCUGCCUUGUCUUUAGGGCUAACGUCCGGACACGGGCGCUAAUCCCGCAUACUCUCAGCUGAGCCUAGGUGGGAUUAGCUAGUUGGUUGGGUAAAGGCCUACAAAGGCGACGUACCGUAACUGGUCUGAGAGGCUGAUCAGUCACACUGGAACUGAGACACGGUCCAGACUCCUACGGGAGGCAGCAGUGGGGAAUAUUGCACAAUGGGCGAAAGCCUGAUGCAGCAAUGCCGCGUGUGUGAAGAAGGUCUGCGGAUUGUAAAGCACUUUAAGUUGGGAGGCGGUACCAAAAGAAUAAGCCCCGGCUAACUUCGUGCCAGCAGCCGCGGUAAUAC